AAAGACGUUUAAAUAUAAUUACUAGACGGAAAGCAGCACGCGCGGAAACCAUGCAGACGAAUGGGAUUAGGCUCCGCCUCUUUUGGAUCAUUUGAAGACAAAAUAAGCUACCGAGGCGGCUUUUUGAUUGGAUAUGAGCCUCAUGAAUAUGUAUUUUAUCGAUAGUAUCGUUUAAGAAACCGGAUAAUAUAUUUGACCUCAUUGCGUCACUUUAAUUAUGCAGAUUUAUGCACGACGCUACUACACUCGCACAAACUGAGAAGAGUUAGUUCAUUGAGAAUGGAUUGAAACUAAUGAAGAGCUGGAAGGAGUUAACUGAUGAGUAGACAUUACAACAUUUCUUAUAUUUGCAAGAUGAAGCUGAAAGUCCCAUUGCAGGAUGAUGCUUCUCUACAGUGGAUGAUGAAGGCAUGCUGAUUACAAACCCAGGAGAGGAACAAAGAACAGAUAUUGACAGAAGCAUAUCUAGAGAUGCGGGCCUACUACACUUCAUACGAGCAAGUGUGCUAAUAUACAAUACUUGGGUUAUCAUCACAGCCCUUUCUUCUGAAAACUAGCCUACAACUUCAUCAAUGAAUGCAGAAGACAUCUUCAUGGGACUACGUCUUAAAGAUGCAACCCUCAUAUAAUGAAAGAGGACAUUAGAGAUGGGUUUAAACUUGAAUAUUUACAUACUAUUUAUUUA